rnacentral:rRNA from 1 species
UGGGGAAUAUUGGACAAUGGGGGCAACCCUGAUCCAGCGAUGCCGCGUGUGCGAAGAAGGCCUUCGGGUUGUAAAGCUCUGUCGCCUGGGAAAAACGACUAUUCGGGGAAAGUUCGAGUAGUGUGAUGGUACCAGGAGAGGAAGCACCGGCAAACUCUGUGCCAGCAGCCGCGGUAAUACAGAGGGUGCAAGCGUUGUUCGGAAUUACUGGGCGUAAAGCGUACGUAGGCGGUUAUUCAAGUCAGAGGUGAAAGCCUGGAGCUCAACUCCAGAACUGCCUUUGAAACUAGAUAGCUAGAAUCACGGAGAGGUGAGUGGAAUUCCGAGUGUAGAGGUGAAAUUCGUAGAUAUUCGGAAGAACACCAGUGGCGAAGGCGGCUCACUGGACGUGUAUUGACGCUGAGGUACGAAAGCGUGGGGAGCAAACAGGAUUAGAUACCCCAGUAGUCCCUGAGCGGGCUGGCAAGGCGCAU